rnacentral:rRNA from 1 species
GACGAACGCUGGCGGCGUGCAUAACACAUGCAAGUCACGGGGGCCAGCAAUGGCAACCGGCGAACGGGUGCGUAACACGUAAGCGACCUACCUCGAUGUGGGGCAUAGCCGGCCUAACGGCCGGGUAAUUCCGCAUGUGAUCCUUGAGGGGCAUAUCUCGGGGAUGAAACCAGUAAUGGGCAUUGAGAGGGGCUUGCGGCCUAUCAGCUUGUUGGCGGGGUAACGGCCACCAAGGCGACGACGGGUAGCUGGUCUGAGAGGAUGGCCAGCCACAUUGGGACUGAGAAACGGCCCAGACUCCUACGGGAGGCAGCAGUGGGGAAUCUUGCGCAAUGGCCUAACGGCUGACGCAGCGACGCCGCGUGAGGGAUGAAGCU